rnacentral:rRNA from 1 species
CCGGGCUAGGGGGCGGAAGAGGCCGCCGGUACUCCGGGGGUAGGGGCGAAAUCCGUUAAUCCCCGGAGGACCACCAGUGGCGAAAGCGGGCGGCCAGAACGCGCCCGACGGUGAGGGGCGAAAGCCGGGGGAGCAAACCGGGCUCAGGUCGGCGUUGCGCAGACAAUCUAAUCAUCCAGUCCCACCACGCGCGCCAACCCCCUCAUCUUUACCAAGCCCACCUGGCCCGGGCUCAAAGGGGAUUAGAUACCCCCGUAGUCCA